CCCUACACCAAAAUUGUGGAAACUUCUCAAUCAUGUUUUGUCUCUGGGUUCCAAAGUGAAAUGUAUUGAUCGCAGAACCAUUGGUUGGCUAUGGAUUGUGAGGAUCGUUGGAUGCUGUCGAGGUGUGUUCCUGAAUGUUUUGUUGUUACAUAUCAGAACUUUUGAGUGGAGAGACUAUAAAGGAACAGAAGUUAAGAAAGAUGGUAGCUAUUUAUAUUCUGAGGAACUCGAGGCGGUUAGUCACUGCUGCAACUAUCUAUCCUGGCUCAGUCAAGUUAGUGAUCCAACCAGGAGUUCAAGAGCAUGUGACAGCUUACAAUAGGCUGAAAACUAAUCUUACUAAACUGUGCUAUUAACUAAGUUU
rnacentral:lncRNA from 1 species